AGAGGAAUAGCUGGGUCAAAUGCUAUUCAGAUUUCCAAGAAAUCUCCAUACUGCUUUCCAAAUUGGAUGCACCAAUUUGCAGUACCACCAGCAAU
rnacentral:pre_miRNA from 1 species